GCCUGGGUGGCUCAGUCAGCUAAGCAACUGACUUCGGCUCAGGUCAUGAUCUCACGGUUCGUGGGUUCAAGCCCCGCAUCGGGCU
rnacentral:tRNA from 1 species